rnacentral:lncRNA from 1 species
CUGCGGGCGCCUCCCGGGGAUGGGCUUGCUGGCUUCGCGGAGCCCUCAUUCCAGCGCCCAGUUAGAACCGUGUUUACCGUGUUGGAUCUUUGCAGCAACAGAGUGAGAGUAACUCAAAGCCAAGUGAGUGGUCCUUUCUCGCAGCACCUUGCGUUUUCAAGAUGUAUCUUUCACAUCGACGUGCAGGCUCUGGUUGGUUCACAGCCUGUGUGUCAAUGGUUUUAAUGGUUACUGUGGUGAUGGUAAGUUAUUUUCCCGUGAGUGGAAACCUUUGCGCCUGUAUAUUCUCUCCUCUGCCGAUGGCUACGAUGAGGUUUAUGGUCAAAUUGCCAAAACACGUUGAACUAGGGCAGCUCAGCUUGCCUUGUUGAAUUGAAAGCUCUUUCCUUGAAGGAUUAACUGGUUGCCAACCUGAGGAGUGUGUUCAUGGCACAGUUUCCUGUUUCUUUCCAAAUUAUAAGUAGCUUCCUAAGUAGAGUAGGAUUCAUAUUAAUGACAGGGUUUGCUGGCAUAAUAGUUGACUUCCUUAUCCAUGGGGGUGGGGGGUUCCCUGUAGGGGCUGUGUGACUCUAAUUUAAAACCAAUUAAACAUCGCCAGAAUCACACUCAACUCUUGGNNNNNNNNNNNNNNNNNNNNNNNNNNNNNNNNNNNNNNNNNNNNNNNNNNNNNNNNNNNNNNNNNNNNNNNNNNCAAUUAUCGAUCCUUAUUACAUCUCACAGCUCUAAAACCCUUCCUCUGCCAUCAGGUAAUGAAGACGAUACCCUAUUUGGGGAUCUUCCAUUAAGGAAAUAGUUCGACAUUUUUGACUGUAGGAAUGUGUGUAAGUUGGAGAGAGACAUGGUGGUUCGGCUUGGGUGAUAAGAGCAGUUCCUGGAGAAUGGUUUUUUUAUUUUAUAUUUUAUUUUUUAUUUUAUUUUAUUUUUUUGUCUUUUUAGUGGCAUAUGGAGGUUCCCAGGCUAGGGGUGGAAUCAGGAGCUGUAGCCACCGGCCUACACCACAGCCACAGCAACGCAGGAUCCUUAACCCACUGAUCGAGGCCAGGGAUGGAACCUGCGUCCUCAUGGAUCCUAGUCGGGUUCGUCACUGCUGCGCCCUGAUGGGAACUCCCUGGAGAAUGAUUUUUAAGUCACCUGGUCGUUCUGUUCUUUUUGCCCUUUUCACUGUCAGAUACACGGCACCCUUGGUGUGGCUGGUGGGCGUCGGCUGUUGGUGCCACAAAUGAAUUUGAUGGUUUUCUUGUUAGGCAGAGCUUGUUCUGACUAAAGGACCAAUAUUUAUUCACAACAUUAAUGAACUGUGCUGUGUUUUCAGGUGCUUUGAGAUGGUGCAGUAUAACUAAUUAGCUUUCCUUUUCUUUCUUUCGGUUUCUGACUUUUGAGCUUGGGUUCCUUCUGAGGUGCUAUGUGUAUCUGUUCACUGACGCUCUUUCAAGUGGCAUUUUCAUUAUCAAGUUUUACAGAGGGGACUUUUCCUGAAGACUGUACCUCUCUGAAGAACUCCCUAAAGUAUUAGUAUCACAGUUUUUAUCUUCACGUUCAGUAUUUAAUCUUGACCUUCCGUUUUCCAAACUUAUGCCUUCAUUGGUCAGAAACCUUUUAGUGUCUUUGUAAAUGUAUUUAUCUAUAUAUUUAUACUCUGGAUUGUUACACAAUUUUUGAAUGGAUGGUGAAACAGUAUAUUUGCUUUUGAAAUCACGUGCACUAAUAAGAAAUGUAUAAUAAAGAGAAUGCCUUUAAUAAGUCCUGCCUCGUGCUCUAAGGUCCAGCUCAGGUUGCUGGUAAAGCUAGUGCCCACCCUCCUUUCCUUCACCAGUGACGAGACCCUCGUCACUGUGCCCACAGGGCCACCCUUGGGGGAGCGUCCGCCCUGGGCCAGCGGCUCUGUCUCAGGCUCAGAACCCGUGAACUCGCUCCAUCGCCCGCCUCGCUCAUGCCCCAAAUCCGCUGACCUUCCUCCAUGGGGCCUGGCAGCCUAUCUUCUCCAUUCCCACUGGCUAAGCUCUGUCCAGGCUUGGUUCCUGCCGAGAGGCCGCUGGUACCCCAUCUGACUCCCAGGGCCCUGUUCCCUCUGCCCGUCGCUGCCAGUCUCCAGGAAGCUCUUCUUAAUCUGAGUCCAUCUCCUUGAAUCCUCCUCAAGAACUCCUGGGCUUUGCUUCCACCCACAGAGUGAUGGGCAGAUACAGAGCUCUGCAUUCUCCUCCUCCAGGCAGGCCUCCAGGGGUAUCUGUGCCUUCCGGCCUGCGGGUCUGGGCAGAAGUAUCCCUCCUCCUGUCUGCCUCCUCAGGCCCUGCCACCUUUAUGAGAAUCUCUGGGUCACAUUCACUGCACCCCCAGGCUGAGGUGGGCAGGGCCUGAGAGGCUGAGGAUGCAGUGACGGAGAAGACAGCUCGGACCUCAGGAGGACGACCGGACGGGGGCGCCGCC